rnacentral:ncRNA from 1 species
GCAACCUCAAGCUGGCACACGGCAACCUGGUGGUGUUCCGCUCGCUGCUGGGCAUCUCCUGGAUGUGGUUCUUCGGCGCGGUCUUCCUGUCGCUCUUCCCCGCCUUCGCGAAGAGCGUGCUG